UACGUAGGUGGCAAGCGUUGUCCGGAUUUACUGGGUGUAAAGGGCGUGCAGCCGGGCUGACAAGUCAGAUGUGAAAUCCCGCGGCUCAACCGCGGAACUGCAUUUGAAACUGUCAGUCUUGAGUACCGGAGAGGUCAUCGGAAUUCCUUGUGUAGCGGUGAAAUGCGUAGAUAUAAGGAAGAACACCAGUGGCGAAGGCGGAUUACUGGACGGCAACUGACGCUGAGGCUCGAAAGCGUGGGGAGCAAACAGG
rnacentral:rRNA from 1 species